rnacentral:rRNA from 1 species
CAGAUUGAACGCUGGCGGCAGGCCUAACACAUGCAAGUCGAGCGGUAGAGAGGUGCUUGCACCUCUUGAGAGCGGCGGACGGGUGAGUAAUGCCUAGGAAUCUGCCUAGUGGUGGGGGAUAACGUUCGGAAACGGACGCUAAUACCGCAUACGUCCUACGGAGAAAGCGGGGGACCUUCGGGCCUCGCGCCAUUAGAUGAGCCUAGGUCGGAUUAGCUAGUUGGUGAGGUAAUGGCUCACCAAGGCGACGAUCCGUAACUGGUCU